GGUGAGGUGGCCGAGUGGUUGAAGGCGCUGCUCUCGAAAAGCAGUAAACCAGUAAUGGUUUCCAGAGUUCGAAUCUCUGCCUCACCG
rnacentral:tRNA from 1 species